rnacentral:lncRNA from 1 species
AAGUGUCUGUGCAUCUUAUGGAGCAAAUGUGUGGUCGAUCGCCGGCUCCCUUUCUUGCCCCGCCCCCUUGCCCAGACCUCCAUUGUUGAAUGUUCUGCAGACGGAGGCUGUUUGUUUCCCCAGCGACAUGUGACUGGCUGAUUAGAUUAUCUGUCUGGAAACUGUAGAAACGGCUCCCUUUCCUUUCCUAAAGAAGCUGCAGAACUCGGUCAGCAAGUGGCAGUGCCAGCAACGAGCGCAUUCCUAUCAUGGUUCCGCAAGUGCCUCCUCAGGUUCCUCCUCAGUUUCCUCCUCAGUUUCCUCCUCCACUUCCAGCACAACCAUACCCACCUCAGAUUCCAGCACAGCCAUACCCACCUCAGAUGAUCCCGAUCUAUGUGACCUAUGAUCCAGCUCAGGGUUUGCCCUCUAUUCUCAGCAAUCUGCCAGGCGUGGUGAACCCUGGACCUGGAGGUGUUGGUGGCCCAUUUCUGGUAAGACAAUUUACUGUUCAUCAUUAUUACUAGAUUGUAGCACUGUGGCGGGGGGAGGGGGGAUAUCUACACUGCACUGUGGAAAUCGGCCCAUAAUGUUCACCAAAUAACCGUGUGACUGACCUCUGUUACAAGAAUGCAGUGUACUGAUUUUUUGCCUCUCUCUAGAUCCCUUAUCCUGGAAUUCCUGGGGCGGUAAGUUCAUUGAUCUUCAUUGCAUCAUAUUUCCAUAGUCAGAGAUCCAAGGGGAAACUCAGAGGUCUUUGAAUGAUUGCCUGAUUAUAUGUGUAGGUUUAGGCCAUUGCACUUAAUGAAAGGUAUCCUGCAAUAGAAGCGGGGAGAGAAAGCCCUCCACGUUUGUGGGGGAGAUCAUGGGCACAUUUGGAAUUUUGAAAAAGUGGCUUCCGUGGAGUUGUUACCUGUCAGAACCAAAAAAACAUAUAUGAAAUAUGAAGACAUAUUAUUUCAUUAUUCGCAACUUUUAACAUAUUUAUGAUCUCAAUAAAAAUUAACAAUGCACAGAGUGUUUCAUUUAAAAACCAAAAGGCAAACAAAAUCUUCAAAAGAUUUUAUAGUGCUCUGUUUUGAAUUCCAAACACUCUAGAAGUUUCCAGUUCUUCAGAUUUAUUGGCAAACAGUUUUCCUUGCCCUCACAUAAAGGUAAAGGUAAAGGUAAAGGGACCCCUGACCAUUAGGUCCAGUCGUGACCGACUCUGGGGUUGCGGCGCUCAUCUCGCUUUAUUGGCCAAGGGAGCCGGCGUUUGUCUGCAGACAGCUUCUGGGUCAUGUGGCCAGCAUGACUAAGCCACUUCUGGCGAACCAGAACAGCGCACGGAAACGCAGUUUACCUUCCCGCCGGAGCGGUACCUAUUU